AUUAAACACUUUUGCCCAACACCGAUAAUUAAUCUUCUUAUUAUUCUUAUUCCUUCGCAACUCUUCCAAAAAUGGAAUCGAUUGAUGAUAGUGAAAUAAUGUUCCACGAUAAAAAAUCGUCAAGAUUUCAGGUACGACGAAUUUACUCCUCCCUGUGCAUGGUUGUUUACGCGCGUUUCACUCGAAAUUCUUACAUUUAAGGACAACAAAGAAACAUUCAAAGGGCUACGCCUGCGUUGCUGAACGAAACGAAGCGCUGAGAGUCUGCGAAAAUCGUUUAAAUAGUCCAUCAACGUCGCUACCUGGCGGCCAGACGUCGAACGAGGAAAAGUCUGGCCGGAAGCCAGUGGUCCCGGACGUUGCAAAAGGGAGGUUAGGUCGGUCCGAACAAACGAUAAAAGAAGUCAUCUUUGUCGCCAUUUUUGUUCUUCGAUCUUGGUACCGAAAGUGUUCCGCUAGCAAAGCUCUGACGUAAAGUUUAUUAAAUCUAUCUUCGAAAAAUGACAUUGUAAUUUCGACGAUUGCAGUGUAAACAUGUAUCUACACAUUCGGCGUAGUCAGUCACGAUGCAUACGAUAAACACACAUUUGAGCUGACACGCGCACACGCGAGCAAGCAGAAAGUUACGUUCGCCUACGCUCGAGGCGCCUGCUGUUCCAAGUAUAAGCGUGGCAAGAGGUAGAGCAAAAGAAGAGACGGGAAGAGAAGGGAAGACGUAAAACGCACGGUCAACGGCCUGUUCUUUGCGGGAAUUCUAAAUACAUUUAACGUACAAGCCAAUGCGUUACCGUUACGGUUCCACUGUCACCAGAAAAGCUCACCGGUGCUUUCGCCUGGUUAUCUUUAAUAAAGUUAGAUGUGCUUGGCCGAAUUUACUUUAAAAUUUUCUUAUACACCCUACGUAUCUAAGCUCGCUCAAAUCCGAGAAAUUCUAUUUUUUUUUUUUUUUUUUUUUUUUUCAUGAUCAGAUACAUCGAUUUAAUGUUGAAAUUUAUAUUUUAUGACAUUAUACUGAAUACCAAUGUUUUUAUAUAAAUAAUGUGCUAUUUAAUAUUUGAAAUAUUAAAAAUCUUUUGUGCGUCCGAUAAGAGAACCAGUUAAAAUUAUUUUUAUAUAUUUUAUUUUAGAAAAAUUCUAUCAUAUAGAUAGAUGGUUUUUAAUUUAUAUAAAUACAUUAAAAACCAGCGACAAGGUGGUCAGUAUACAUCUUAAAGAAAAAUUCAUCGUGUUUGCUAUCAUGGUUAAUGAAUAACUCUUUUCAUAGUAAUUUAUCAAACAGAACACGUGUUUAAAAACUUCGAACUCCUUGCAAACGUGAAGUUCAGGAGAAGGUAGUUAAAAAUAGAGCUCGAAGCAUUAUAACUUUACCGUGUGCCGGUGCUGGCAGAAGAGAAUCCUAUGUAUUUAUGGACGUUUUACGUUUUUAUAAAUGAACUGCUAAACAGCUUUGAUGGGACUGACUGUCAAGAAAAACUAUCUUCCAUGGUCAUCGUCAUCUUUCUCAAAUAGAUAGAUCCUCGAACUUCGUCGGGCUUUUCGUUACAAUGACAAAUAUAGAAUUGACAGAUUCGAUGAAAGUAAAAAUACAUCAUAAUUAUUGUAUUAACGAAGGAACAAUAAUUCAACUUCAUUAAUCCUUGCUAAGUAAAAUAAUUGUCGAUGGUGAUUAUUAUAUUCGAAAAAUAAUUGAAAUUUUUAGUUCGAAAUUCUUGUUCCUGAAAAUACGUGAAAGCUCGUUGUCAGUGUUGAUGGACAUAUGACGUCGAUGGUGUCAUGAACAUGCUCCGACCCAGCUAACCCUCAACCUAACCAGAAUCGAAAACAUCAGGUCAUGUGUGAAGGAUCGUUCGGAUAGAUAUAUAUUUUCUCCGUAUACUGCACAUAUUUUUAGGUAAGCAGCGAGAUAAAACGAAAUUAGAACGCUCGCGGCCUUUGUAAGAGCCGACGUCGUCAUUAGUCGUUUGAAGGCUCACGGUACGUUACGUAUGUUUCAAUCCACCGUCAUUCUAUCCCUGGGAGGCAUUAUUGUCGCCAGUAUCCAGAAUAGCAAUGUAAACGUGUGUGUGGGCCACCUCGGCUAAUCUCAGCUCGCUUUCAUCGGUUAUUGAAAUUCUAAUGGCUAACUGUAACCAGAUGUUCUUGGUAAUUAAUCUUACCAAUAAUCGUCACGCGAUCUACCUAAAUCUCUCUCCGUAUAUCAUGCUUGAUGUAUGUAUAUUGUACAUACGUAUGUAUAUUAUUAAAGAAUGUUUGGAAUUUGUGAUUCAACGAUGUUAAGACAUGUAGUAUUCGUAAAAUCAAAUAGAAUAUCUCGCGAAUCAAAGAAUCGUUUACUUUCCAUUUCCCUUGAAAAUCCUCUGAAAAUACUCUAAAUCAUUUAUAAGCGAAGAAAACGUACAAGAAAAAAAAAAAAAGAAAAAAAAAAUAAAUAAAGAAAAAACUUCCGAAAUAAAUAUCUGUAUACAUGCUAUACCUACUCCAUACAACUCGUAAGCUAAAGGGAAAGCCGAGAGAUAUUUAUAUUCUCUGGUAAGACUUUGGACCGUGCACGAAACGGGAGGAAUGAAAAAAAUGACGCAACGUCAUAGCCGUGAAUAAGUGACUGUUGUGACAGAACAAAAUAGGAACUUGAAAUCGUCACUGGGAGUCUUCGUUAAACGGGAGUUAGAGUGCACGGGUCUUAUCCUGUAAACGUAUGCAAACUCUCUUGAAGUAGUCGAACGCGUAUGACAGGGAGUUUAGUCGUACGUUGACAGCUGUUGUAUGUGCGCUUUGUACCAUCGCCAGCCGGUUUAUCUCAAACGGUUUCUGUCUCGAGAGAAGUAUAAUAUUAGAUGCGGCAUGUAAUUCAUGUUACACUUCUUCGAGAAAAUGAAUUUACUAUUAUUCGAAUGAUUUUUCUUUCUCAACGUUAUCUUGUCGUAUCGUCGAUCGUUUCCCGAUUAAUUAUACAAUUUGUAAAGAAUCUUGAAAAUAAUUGAAUGCAUUUCUUAACGACAAAGAAGUUAUUCACACCACGAGACAUAGGUCUUUGCCUUACGCCAUAACAUACCGGUAGGUCGGGCAGAAAGCCCACCGAUGCCGUCUGACGAAUUCAAAGAUCAAAAUCGAUCGCAAUCCGACCGAAGUGUUCCUAUUCCGUAUUCUAAACCGGCUGCCUACCCUUCCCCUACCAUCUUCCUUUUUAACCACCCACUUAGGCCCCCGUCGCUUCUCCCUGCUCUUAAUCUUUUUCAAAGUUAAUACAAAUCGGUAUUACUUAUGUAAACUAUCUCAAGUAGUGAAGUAACAUUGAGCUAAUUAUAAAUUCAGCGCUAGUUGAGUUCGUACGUAGAUACGUACGUUCAUUACCUACGCAUAAGCAGUCAAGUAAUUUGCGAUGCAGUUGGUCUUAGGAGACCUAUGCUACGACGACCUACCUAAAAAUAUACUUAGGGGGUCCGAUCAACGGCCAACUGGGCCAGUGAAGUAAUCGUAGCUCAACGUCCCAAAUAUAGUCCGACAUCUCUACAUAGCGACUACCGAUAGUUGGCAUCACGCGUUUAUAUCCCGAUUUGCAGGUGUAACGUGGAGUAUAAUAACGUCUGUCAUCACGAUUCUUUAAUGACAUUUCUGUACCAAUGUGUUAUCGUACAGACAAACUCGAUAAAUGUUAUUAUAAGAUAAGAUAUAAUUAUUAUUCGAAUUAUUUGUAAGAAAAUUUAAAUAAGAAUCCGUUCGUAUUAACGAUUUUAUUUAAUUUUCAACAAUAUACAAUAUUUUAUAUAAAAUUUCUAUCUAAUAAAAGUUCUAUCGACAUUUUCGUAGAAACUAUAAACUCUA